AUUGAACGCUGGCGGCAGGCUUAACACAUGCAAGUCGAGCGGGGGAAGGUAGCUUGCUACCGGACCUAGCGGCGGACGGGUGAGUAAUGCUUAGGAAUCUGCCUAUUAGUGGGGGACAACAUCUCGAAAGGGAUGCUAAUACCGCAUACGUCCUACGGGAGAAAGCAGGGGAUCUUCGGACCUUGCGCUAAUAGAUGAGCCUAAGUCGGAUUAGCUAGUUGGUGGGGUAAAGGCCUACCAAGGCGACGAUCUGUAGCGGGUCUGAGAGGAUGAUCCGCCAAACGUGGACUGAGACACGGCCCAGACUCCUACGGGAGGCAGCAGUGGGGAAUAUUGGACAAUGGGGGAAACCCUGAUCCAGCCAUGCCGCGUGUGUGAAGAAGGCCUUAUGGUUGUAAAGCACUUUAAGCGAGGAGGAGGCUACUGAGACUAAUACUCUUGGAUAGUGGACGUUACUCGCAGAAUAAGCACCGGCUAACUCUGUGCCAGCCGCCGCCGUAA
rnacentral:rRNA from 1 species